GUGCUUGCUUUGGCAACACAUAAAGUUGGAAUGACAUAGAGAUUAACAUAGCCCCUGCACAAGGAUGAUGCACAAAUUUGUGAAGCAUUCUAUAUUUUA
ensembl:snRNA U6 U6 spliceosomal RNA